GGGGGGGAUUCGAGAUGCCCAAUUAGCAACGAUUUCAGAUUGAGGAACGCCAACAUCAGGACAGUGAAGUGUGGAGGCAGAGACGUUUGGAUUUUCCGGCUUUUAAUGGCGAAAAUCUGAACGUUUAGGUCGCAAAAGUGGAGCAUUAUUUUUCCGUUUACAAUGUGGGUAAAGCUGAGAAGGUGGCGGCGACGGUGUUAGGGUUGGAAGGGCGAGCUGUGGAUUGGUGCCAAUGGGUCAAGCACAGAAAAACAAUUAGCUCAUGGGGGGAGUUGAAAAACAUGAUGUUACAUCACUUCCAUCCUCACGGCGGUAGUUCACUUUGCGAACAAUGGAUGUCGGUGUAUCAAGAAGGAUCGGUGGCAGAGUACUGUGAACAGUUUAUUUUGUUGGCCUUACCGUUGACCCACAUGCCGGAGGAUACUCUACUCUCUUGUUUUAUUAAGGGGUUGAAACCAUUAAUUAGAGUGGAAUUGAGACUCUGGAAUUCAAAUACUGUAGAAAUGGCCAUUGAGUGGGCCCUUAAGAUUGAGGAAAAGUACGUGGUAGGCAUUGAACACCCUUAUUAUGACCCUACUUUUUCUUUUACCCCACACACGCGUCCCCCUUUUAAAUCUACCCCACCUCCACAUAAAUAUCCUACCCUAACAAGAAACCCAACCCCAAACCCGAUGAACCAUUUACCUCAAAAUCACCGUUCCCCUCCAUACACCUCUCUCCAUCCCCCACCUACCACAAGAAAAUUUCCAAAAACCAUACGCCGAUUGUCUGACCGGGAUUAUCAAGAAAAACGGAGUAGAGGACUUUGUUUCCGCUGUGACGAGAAGUGGAGUCUGGGCCACAAAUGUAAAAAAGGUGAGCUUAGCAUGAUGUGGGUAAUGCGAGAAGGGGAAGAAAGUGUGCUGCUGGAGGAAGAUCAGGAACUAGCAGGCGUACCAACCUCCCCGGUUAGUAUUUCCCUUAAUUCGGUUGUGGGUAUUGAUAAUUCGAAAACUAUGCGUUUGACCAGUAUGAUGUUAGACACACCGGUGGUUGUCAUGAUUGACCCAGGUGCUACGCAUAAGUUUGUUUCGUUAUCUGUCGUUGAGAAGCUCAGAUUGGAAAUUUCUGAUACUGAAGAGUUUGGAGUCAUGUUGGGCACGGGUAAGGGGCGAGGUGAAUGUAAGGAAGUUCGGUUAUGUCUAGGACCCAUAGAAAUUGUGGAGAAUUUUUUUCCCCUAGAGUUAGGGAAUCCUGAUAUAAUCUUAGGCAUACAAUGGCUGGAAAAAUUGGGUACGGAAUCGACGAACUGGAAACUACAGGUGAUGCAGUUUCAAUGGAAUGGAUCUAAAGUCAUUUUGAAAGGCGAUCCGGGGUUAGGAAGAUCACAGGUGUCUCUGAAGUCAAUGAUGCGAAUGAUUAAGAAGGAACACGGGGGUAUAUUAAUUGAGCUGAAUCAAGUAGAAAUACAGCCAAAUGACAGUAAGAUGCAGUGUUCCACUACUGAAUUAUCGGUGGCUAUCACGACUGUUUUAAUGCAGUAGCAUAGAGUGUUUGAGUGCCACAAGGUUUACCUCCGAAACGAGGUCAGGAGCAUCAAAUUGUGACCAAGAAGGGUACAAAUCCCGUGAGUGUCCGCCUAUAUAGAUAUCCACAGAUACAAAAGGCCGAGAUCGAAAGAAUGGUGGCCGAUAUGUUGUUAGUAGGCAUCAUUCGACCCUCUCACAGCCCCUACUCUAGCCUGGUGUUGUUGGUCAAGAAAAAGGAUGGGUCGUCGCAUUUUUAUAUGGACUACCGUGCAUUGAACAAGGAGAUCAACGCCGAUAAGUAUCCUAUUCCGGUGAUCGAGGAACUUUUGGAUGAAUUACAUGGAGCCGUGGUGUUCUCGAAGUUGGAUUUGAAAUCAGGCUAUCAUCAAAUCCGGGUUCGGGACGAAGACACACACAAACCGCCUUCCGCACUCAUGAAGGUCAUUACGAGUUUUUGGUAAUGCCGUUUGGCUUAACCAAUACGCCAACAACUUUUCAAGCCCUCAUGAAUGACAUCUUCCGUCCAUAUCUAUGGCGGUUUGUCUUGGUUUUUUUCAACAACAUUCUGAUUUAUAUUUCCUCUAUUGAUGAACAUGCCUAACAUCUAGCAUUGGUUAUGGAUAACUUGAAUCUUAGCAACUGUAUGUUAAUGAGAAGAAAUGUGAGUUUUGUAAAAGUAAGGUGGCUUACUUAGGGCAUAUUGUCUCUUGUGAAGGGGUGGCCGUUGAUCCGGAGAAAGUUCAAGCUAUGAUCGACUGGCCCCCGCCUCGCACCAUUAAGGAAUUACGCGGAUUUUUGGGUUUGACAGGUUACUAUCGGCGUUUUAUACGCCACUAUGCAAGUCUCACACAACCUCUAACCCAGCAACUCAAGAAGGAUGCGUUUCUUUGGAACGGCAAGGCUGAGGUUGCCUUUCACCUACUCAAGCAGACUUCGCUCUAAGCUCCGGUCUUGGCUAUGCCUAAUUUUGAUUUACCCUUUGAGGUCGAGGCGGAUGCAUUGGGAUUUGGAAUUGGGGCGGUUCUUUUGCAAGCAUCGCAUCCUAUAACAUUCUUUAGUAAGGCUCUCGGAGUCAGGGACCGGGCCAAGCCCAUUUAUGAGAAAGAGAUGAUGGCUAUUGUCCUCACCGUACAAAAAUGGCACCAUUACUUAUUGGGUCGACUGUGAGAUUAAAUUUAAACUUGGUUCUAGCAACAGUGCAACUGAUGCUUUCUCUCGUCACCCCACCUUCAUGAUGUUACACCAACUCACCCACUGCUCUUCGGUUGACAUUGAUUGGGCUGUUAUCAAUCAGCAAGUUUGCAACGACAGUAAUCUCAAACGUAUUAUUGCGCUGUCAACACGGUGUCUCUUAUUUGAGAUUUACCAUGGAUCAUGGACGUUUGUUAUACAAAGGCCGGGUGUAUCUACCUAUUUCGUCUUCAUUAAUCCAGAAACUGUUGUAUGAAUAUCAUUGUUCGGCGGUGGGUGGGCACAAUGGGGAGUUCAAAACCUACUUACGGUUGGCGGAACAUUGGUUUUGGAUUGGUAUGCGGAAACACGUUACGCAAUUUGUCCGUCAAUGUGUCACAUGUCAACAACAAAAGCAUUCUCAUCAACGACCAACCGGACUACUUCAACCACUUCUCAUCCCCACUCAUAUUUGGGAAGAUAUAUCUAUGGAUUUUGUUGAGGCUUUGCCACGCUCCGAUGGGUGGGACACAGUCUUGGUGGUCUUAGAUCGGCUGUCCAAAUACGCACAUUUUGUCGGCCUUAAGCACCCGUUCACGGCCUCCUCCAUUGUGGCCGUUUUUACUAAGUGGUUUGUUUACAUGGGUUCCCGGCUUCCAUUGUUUCUGACGGGGAUAAAGUGUUCAUGAGCCAUUUUUGGUAGGAGCUUUUUCACUUACAAGGUACUUCCCUCUUGCGCAGCAUGACAUACCAUCCUCAAACUAGGGGUGUUCAAAAUCGGAUACCGGGUCGACCCGGUUUUUCCCCGGUUUUCCCGGAUACUUAAAAUUCUGUUUCGGAUCCGACCUGGUUUAAACCGGGUCGGAAACCGGAUACCCGGUUUUGUUAAAAACUUAUUAUUUUUUUUCCUUUAUUUCUUUUAACAUUUUUUUUAUAUAUGAUUCAAAAUAUUAAAAUACUUAACUUAAUUAGUCAUAAACUAUUAAAAUACAACCAUUAGUUAAUUGAAAUACAACAAUAAUUCCAUAAACUAAAAGCAAGCGAUUAAAAUUUAUAAGUUGAAACUUCAAGCUCCAUUAAUCAUCUUCAACGACAUCAAGAGUUUCAUCGAUUAUGACCUCCGGAUGUUCCAAAGUUAAUGCAUUACCUAAACCAAGAGCACGAACAGUCGAACAAUAUAAGGUUAAAGGAAAUAUAUUUUUACUCUUAAAUAUUAAAUAAUCAAUUGAAAAACAAUUAAAAAUUUAUACUAACUUUCCUCCAUUUCUUCAAGUGCAAGCAAGCUCUCCUCUAUUGCUAAAGGAGUUCUAGAGAUAUGAAGCCAAUCUUGUGCGCAAAUAAGGGCUUCGGCCAUCUUUGGAGUCAAUGAUGUUCGAAAAUCAUCAAGAAUACGACCACCAGUACUGAAAGCCGAUUCAGAAGCAACAAUAGAAUUAGGUGGGCAGACAAGUAUAAGGCCAUACUGGAGAUGUUAUUUUCCGAACACUCAAGCCAUAAUCUAUGUGGUAGACUCAAGCGAUACUGAUCGGCUUGCUAUAGCCAAGGAUGAAUUUCAUGCCAUUUUAG